rnacentral:rRNA from 1 species
UACGUAGGGUGCGAGCGUUGUCCGGAAUUAUUGGGCGUAAAGGGCUCGUAGGCGGUCUGUCGCGUCGGGAGUGAAAACUCAGGGCUUAACCCUGAGCCUGCUUCCGAUACGGGCAGACUAGAGGUAUGCAGGGGAGAACGGAAUUCCUGGUGUAGCGGUGGAAAUGCGCAGAUAUCAGGAGGAACACCGGUGGCGAAGGCGGGUCUCU